AUGAGAUCUCGCCGUUGGCCUGGUAAUCCGAUUUGUUCCUUCUGUCGGGAGAUAGAAAUAACACAACAUCUCUUCUUUGGUUGCUCAGUUGCCAAAAUAGUAUGGAGAGCGAUUGGGGUGACGCUGGGUACUGAUCUAUGCCCACAGAACCUUUGGCAAUUUCAUUCUUGGUGCCAUUCUUUCCUCCCUGGUUAUGGCAACUUUUAUACUGUUGCCCUUGGGGCUGUUACUUGGGCAAUUCGGUUAGCCCGAAACAGAGCCACUUUUGAGAAGAAAUUGAUUAAAUCUCCUUUUGAAAUCGUGUUCUCGGUCUGCUCUCUUCUUCUUUAUUGGGCAGGUCUACAGAAGGAAGGCGAGAUGAUGAAACUUCGUGCCAGAGCAGAGAUGGUUCGCGCUGGGGCCAUGGCGCUGAUGAGGAUAUGUGAUGCUACUACAAGAAUUGGUGAUUGCUGA
rnacentral:rRNA from 1 species